CAGCCCGGACCUGGGCGGCGGGGGUAGCAGAAAUCAAGGGCCGCGGGCCUAAUCGCCGGACGGACGGUGCCGCCGACGCCAUCGACCAUGAAGUCUCCACCACCGCCCUUGAGCCCCUUCGAGACGCCACCUCGCCUGACCAAGGUACCCGCGUCGUGGCUACCGCCUCGCUCAACGCGUUUCUCAAUUGUGCCCGUGGCGCUGGGCCACACACGGAAUUGGAGGGGAAUAGCCGAAGAGGAGGAUGGUUGUGGAAUGCACCGGCGCCGUGGGGGAUCGAGAGUGAGGCGAGGAAGCAAUCGAAGGCUGCGGCGACACCUUGCUGCAGCCUGCAGGUGGCGGUGUCUGGCUCUGUUGCCGUUUCAUAGAUGUCGUUGAUCUAGAGUGGCACGGUGUGCACCAACCCUCUUUGGUGAGAUGAUGAAUAGUGAGGAGUACAAGAGCGUUGUCAGGUCCUGCGUGCUGGACAAGGACAUGGAGAAUUUCCUGCACGAUGACCUGAUGAAGAUCUGGCAGAGAGGCCUCAACAUGACCGGAGGCCAGAAGUAUAUGAUUCAUCUUGCAAUGAUUGUUUACAUCGAUGCAAAUAUCAACCGUAUAUCGCUGCAGCCCUUUUCAGUGUCAGGAUCCUUCUCAUUCUCAAUUCAACAGCUGUAGCUUAACUAUGGAAUGAUAAUUUCAUCAUGGAUGUGACAUAACUUUGUUUUUGAAGGACUGUGUCAUGGUGUCCCUUGAGGCAAGGGUCAUUUUUGUUACACAUCAGGUUGUUUCUCCGAGGUUGAUCAGAUUUUUGUAGGUCUUGGAGAAGAGGGCGAUAAUUCAGGAGGGAACUUCUGAGGAUUUUCGGGACAAGGUAAGGGCGUAGAGGCAUUUGUGUGAUCAGUCUCCAAGAACAGUAUUGAAUUGGAUGAUCGUCAGAUUACCCAGUUACUACCCACUGAUACAUGUUGAUCAGGUCAAGCCACCAACUGACUUUGACCAGGAUGCAAAUGACUUACCAAGUGGCCAUGGAAGAGGACGUGGCCGUCGGGGAUGGGUAGGGGAAGAGGUAAAUAUCCGCCAGUUUACACUAAUUGAAUUUGACGUGUCUACAAAUUGUGCGCCCUUGAUUCUGCAGAUUAAAAGAACUUGAUUCAUUGUUCAGCCAUUUCUAAUGUGCAUUUGAUGUUCAUAGGAAUGGCUCUCUCUUAUUUGCGUGUUUAAGGGUUACUCUUGGUACUCGGACCUUUUUUUGUCGAACACAUCAUCUCAACCAUGAGUACACGAUGAAAAAUUGUGAGACAAAGCUAAGGGAUAGAUGGACCUUCAUAAAAUAGAAUUGAUCAAUCCUCUUUAGUCAUUAUACUGGUCAUGUACGUACUUACCUUUAAGUUUGUUGUCAAAUUCGUGUCAUUGUUAAUACUGCAAUGCUUGAAUAAUUAUUAGCGGUAUACAUGUUGAUUAUUGUCUAUAAUGAAUAGGCAAUUCCUGUGGUUUAAAGUUUCUUGACCAUUUUUGCUUGUACUAAGUUAUUUGUGGGAUGCACUGAAGUUUAGUUUGUU